GUUUUUUUUUCCCUGGCAUUUAAAUAAUCUUUUUUUUGGCAAAAUGCGCUAAUUCAAUGUAAGUAUAAAACAUUAAUACACCCACCCAUUAGAAAAGUAGAAUUAAAAUCAGGAUUUAAAUGAACUGUGUUGUUGGUUGUGUGAGCUGUCGGGAAAUCAAAUGCGGUCGUCAACAGCUCUUAAGCGUCACUGGCCACUGCUUCUCAGCUUUAGAAGCUCCAGCAUGUUGAUAUUCCAGUUGCGUAUCAACAACACAUUCAUUUUUUUUCUUCAGAAAACAGAAACGGCCAGAAUGCCGCUGGUGCAUUUGACAGGGACCACCUGAGCUGACUCUAGUUGAAAGAUGAGCUUCUUUCUGAUAGAGCCAGUAAACAACAUCAGAGCAUGACCCAGAACAACCCAGCAACCAUCUAUAACACUGGGACUGGUUUCAACCAGGAUACUUCUUCACCAAGUGCUACAGAGCCAAGCGGUGUCUUAAGAGCUAGAGAAUCGCAAAUGACUAAACAUGACAAACAAAUAAACAAGGGACCUGUCACUCACGAAAUUAGCGGGAUAGUCUGCCAAUCUCAUCGCCACCACCCACUCCAGCACUCGAUAUAGCUCUGCCUGCCGCCACCAUUACCUACACACACACACAUAAAGCUUUGUACCAUCAACCGAUGAAUGGUCAGCCCUGAUUCCCUCUCACAAUCCAGAUGGCAAUGGGUGAAAAACAGGUGUGAGAAAACCAGCGAGGACAUGUGCUACCCUGUGUGUUAUCUCCUUUAUAUUCAUGUUCAGUCGUGUCAUGCUUCUUUGGGUUCCCUGCCAAGAGCGUCUCUCAUUUACCACUGGGCUGAGCGAGCUCCAGCCAGCCUGAAGACCCCUCGAAGCUCUUUCACCCCAGUGCUGGACAGGUGGCACGGGCUUCGGCAGGCUUGUCAUGUCAGCACAGUUGGAAGAGCUCCUCUGAGACCUUCAAUUGCUGUCGCUGGCUGUGACAUCCUUCCCACAAGAGUGAAAAACUGAAAUGUUUGUGUAUUUCUCUGCACAAUAUAUUAUGUACGUAAAUGCAUCAGUGUCUUGGUAUGUUAUAAAGCGUGGUUAAGAUAUUUUGUUA